rnacentral:rRNA from 1 species
GUACGUUGAUCCGUGGCUCAGAGCGAACGCUGGCGGCAGGCCUAACACAUGCAAGUCGAACGAACUCUUCGGAGUUAGUGGCGGACGGGUGAGUAACACGUGGGAACGUGCCUUUUGGUUCGGAAUAACUCAGGGAAACUUGUGCUAAUACCGAAUGUGACCCUUCGGGGGAAAGAUUUAUCGCCAUUAGAGCGGCCCGCGUCUGAUUAGCUAGUUGGUGAGGUAAAGGCUCACCAAGGCGACGAUCAGUAGCUGGUCUGAGAGGAUGAUCAGCCACAUUGGGACUGAGACACGGCCCAAACUCCUACGGGAGGCAGCAGUGGGGAAUCUUGCGCAAUGGGCGAAAGCCUGACGCAGCCAUGCCGUGUGAAUGAUGAAGGUCUUAGGAUUGUAAAAUUCUUUCACCGGGGACGAUAAUGACGGUACCCGGAGAAGAAGCCCCGGCUAACUUCGUG